AGGGCACCACCAGGAGUGGAGCCUGCGGCUUAAUUUGACUCAACACGGGGAAACUCACCCGGCCCGGACACUGGAAGGAUUGACAGAUUGAGAGCUCUUUCUUGAUUCAGUGGGUGGUGGUGCAUGGCCGUUCUUAGUUGGUGGAGUGAUUUGUCUGGUUAAUUCCGAUAACGAACGAGACUCUAGCCUACUAAAUAGACCUCGGCAUUCUAACUGUCGAGGCGCUUCUUAGAGGGACAGGCGGCGUUUCAGCCGCAUGAGAAAGAGCAAUAACAGGUCUGUGAUGCCCUUAGAUGUCCGGGGCCGCACGCGCGCUACACUGAAAAGAUCAGCGUGGCUUGUGCUUCCUACUCCCAAAGGGAGCGGGGAAACCGAGUGAACCUUUUUCGUGCUUGGGAUUGGGGAUUGUAAUUAUUCUCCAUGAACGAGGAAUUCCCAGUAAGCACAAGUCAUCAGCUUGUGUUGAUUACGUCCCUGCCCUUUGUACACACCGCCCGUCGCUACUACCGAUUGGAUGUU
rnacentral:rRNA from 1 species